UCCAUGCUAAGCACAGCAAUUGCGCACGGUCCCUUACGUAACCGUCAGCUGGGGAUUCCCUAGAGGGGGUCACUUUAUUCAACCAUUACACAGACCCCGGCCGCCGCUCCGGCGCGCCUGGGCCGCCGUUGCCGCCGCUACUGAGGCUGCGGCUACAGCUAGCGCGGCGGCUCCUCACAAAAUGGCGGCGCCCAUGGAAGCGGCAGCCCCAUUUUGUGCCCGGCAGAGCCUGUCAACAAAACGCCGACUUGGCCGAGGCUGAGGAACAGAAGGCGGCGGCUCGUUCGCGUUACAGAGAGCGGAGGGAGGAGAGCGAAGGAUUUCACCGCCCUCCCGCCGCCGAGAGGAGACUUUCUAUCAAGUUGCGUGCCUUAUGAAUAAACCGGCUAUUAGGCUGAUGCUUCAAGUAACACUAUCCAGCACCAAGCUUGGUUCUUCACCUUACAGCUGAAGUAGUCGGAGAUCCCCUAGGAGAAGGUCGUGAAGCUGAUACUAGUGUUACACCACCGGUUUUGUUGGUUUUAUACUGACGGGGGCUCCCCUCUCUUUUUGAGGUAGAGAAAGGGCUUGUGAGUUAAGACUUUUUUUUCCUGAUUUAUCUGUCUUAAUAGGCAUGCAUUUUAAUGGUGUUAAAUAAAGGUGAUGACCUGUUUCUGGUGGAAGUGAUAAUUUUUAAAUGUACAAAAAUUACGUUGAUACUUAAGAAUGCCAGAAGAAUCUCUUGUUGCAUAUUGAAGAGUCCAAAGAUUAAAUGCAGGGGGAAAAGGGAAAAAGUCUUGCUAUUUAGGAGAAAAAAAAUAAAAUCCUUUUACUGAUCUCUGUAAUAGUACCUGUCAAUGCAAUUUGCAUUUAUUUAAAUUGUAAAAUAAAACCUGUGCUAUUAUAAACUGCUUAUAAAAGUUACCAUAUACAAUUAAUUUUGGUGUGUAAAUGUUAUGUGUGGAAUGAGCAUUCUUGCAGACAGACAGUGCAGAUCCAGUAACUGAAUUGUCACUAUUCAGUAGUGGUUGGGUGGUUUUGUUUUGGUUUUUUGUGUGUGUGUGUUGGCUGCUUUUUUUUAAGUAUCACUGUGCUAAGUGAAUCUUGUGUUGUAAUAGCUGUAUCUUGUGUUGCAGUUUCAAACUUUUCUCUUGAAUCUUUAAUAUGAAAUUUGGGGCUUAUUACUGAUGUGCCAAACUGCUGCUAUCCAGAGAGCAGGCCACAAUUGCUCUUGUCAGUGUGCCACUAACUCUGCAUUUGCUUUCUGGUCCACCUUUCGGAAUCAGUUUUAUGAUCAUCUAAACUCUAAAUUAAAAGCACUUCAAAGUUGAGGGUUUCUCAGUUGUGCAAUGAAGUAUGAAACAUGAAGCAGGAAAACCCUAAAUGCAACUGAAGAAGAAGUAAAAAUAAAUAUAGGGUCGAAUUUGGAACUCAGAAAACGCAAAGCACUUUGUUAGACGCCACCAGCGCCCUGUGAGAAACUCGCUGCUGUGUGUAAAUCCCCGAUAAAGACAGAAAUAGAAAUGGGGUGCACCCAACAGGAUGCAUUUGCUGUAGCCUCCCAACAUCACCCAUCCCUCCCCUCUCCCCCGAGGCCUGCUGCUGGCUCUUCGCACUGGCCUGGGUGCCAGAAGAGGGAGCACGGAGCCCAGCGGAGCCCCGGCCUUAACUGCAGUCCCCACUGCUGCCUCAGGUAGAGCUGUGAUCACCGCAUUCAGUCCUAACUGUUGUUAGAGGAUCACGGUCCAAGACUGGAAGAGUUUCAUCAACCAGCUGGAUGUCCUGGGAGAAUUCCCAAAGGAUUACUUAGUUUGCUAAUCUCUGCUGAAGGGGUUCUGGUGGCUUCCCUGCUAACAAAGGCUUAGCCUAAAACAACUGAGAUUUGGGGCAAAUCCCUGAUACUGAAAACCUGCAGGGCAGGUUGCAUACAACUGUCAUCUUGUGGUGUUUACAAGAAAACAGAAAACUAACUUUCAUUCUACAUGCAGCAUGUCCAUGUGUUAUGGACACAGACGAUACAGAAGUUAGUUAAAAAAAGCAUUUUGGCUGAUAACGACCCUGUUAUAUUUUUCUUCCGUUGCCUGCUUUCAGCCUGUGUGCCCCAAAACAUUGCACUGCAUCCAAAGACCUAAAAUUUGGGAGUCUGCAGGCCUUGGGGAUGGAGGGAUGUUGAGCCUAAACAUCCAUAAAGAGCCAUGUUUGCUGGAUAUUUUCAAGACUGAGAUGUGGAAAUAAGUUUCUCUCUUUCACUUAGGAAGAAUCUAAGAUACAACCUUUUGGACCAUGGCACAUCUACAUUUAGAUUUUCUAUACCUAUAUACUUCUUUUCCCCUUUAUUUUUCUGUGGACAGAUUUUAACAUAAAUGCAUACAUGAAAUAAAUUGCACAUCUAAAGUAGUGGAAACAUGGGAUAUUGCUGGGAUGGCUAUGGUCCCUGCAUGUCUUCAUAUAGAUGAGAGAGACAGAGGACACAUACCACAGCCUUGAUUUUGAACAAGAAGAGAUCAGGAGCUUGAACAGCAGAAUUACAGACUCGGAAGGUUAUGAAGACAUCAUUAAAUUCAGAAGUCUAUGGCCACAUUAAAUAGGCAGGAGCUGUGAACUGGCAAAAGCCUUCAUUACUGAAUCAAUAUGAGGCCAUUCUCCUAAGAAGUUCUCCCUCAAGGAAACAGCUCUAGCCCUCACUAUAUCAAGACUUCUUGGGCACAUGAGAUUAGCCAGGAAGCUCAUUGGCAAGUGAAAUAUGGCAACAGGGAGUCAUCUCCAGCGCUGUUUCACCUGGUAAAAGCCUACAUGAAGUGACUGCAAGCAUGCUACCUUUCUCAUCUUGGGCAUGGAUGGGUCUUGGAAUACUAUGCGUUCCUUGGACACUGGUGAGUGGAUAGGACUCAACGUGGAUAGGACUGCUCUGGUCAUCUCCAUAGCUAGCACCAACAAUCUGAGAAUGUCCCCUUAGUCUCCUUGUCCACCGUUAGAGGUGAUGAAGGUAGCACCUGUCACAGCAGGCCUUGGCACCACAACGUUUCUAACCGCCUCACACUUGUAUCUCAUUUCUCCUCAGGAUAUGUUAUAAGCCCUUUGCAUCAGGGCCACAGUAUUCCUCAGCGGUACAGCUGUGUUAAAGGAGCCUUCUCCCUGAGAUUCCCUGUGGCAGGUGAUAAGGAUAUUCAGAUCUUGAAGGCCAAGUGAGGUUUCUGCUGUCAAGACAGUGAAAGUGCAACUCCUUAUUCAAGGGAACACCAGGUUCCAUACACGUCAGCACUUGAGGCAUGGUUUAAGUGCAGAAAAUCCAAUGACAAUUUCUUGACACAGGUGACUGGUGAGUCAGCGAGGGGAGGUGCUGUGCUGGACCUGUUACUCAUGAACAAACUGGAUGGGGGUGUGGAGGUGGAGGGCAGCUUUGGCUGCAACCCUGAGACUGUAUAGCUAAAAAUCCUGAGAUAAAUGAGCAAAACAAAUAGUAAAAUUGCCAGCCUUGACUUCCCGAGAGCAAACUUCAGCUUGUUUGGGGUCUGCCGGACAGGAUCACAUGGGAGACAGUUAGCUGCUCCUGGGAUACCUAGUUAAUCUUCAAGAACAGUCUCCUCAAAACACAGAAUUGGUCCAUUCCAAAUCACAGAAAGAUGAGCAAAUGUGGUACAAGGCCAGUAUGGGUGAGCAGGACACUCUUGACUGACCUCAAAGUAUGCAGAAGGUAGAAACAGGUCCAGGACUACCUGGAUGGAAUAUAGAGACAUUGCCCAAGUCUGCAGGUGGGGAAUUAGGAAAGCCAAAAUUCAGCUGGUGUUGCAACAGCAAGGGAUUUGAAGGGCAACAAAAAGGGCUUUAAUAAUUAUAUUGGCAACAAAAAGGCAGCCUACGGGAAAUGUGGGCCGGGUACUCUAUGUGGCAGGGGGACCUACUGACAAAAGCCAUGGAAAAAGGUGAGGUGUUCAAUGCCUAUUCUGCUUUUUAUUGUUUUGUUUUGCUUUUUUAUUGGUAAGAUUUACCCUCAGUCCUGAGACUAAUAGCAGAGUCUGAGGGAGUGAAGCAGUAGCCACAGUGGAGAAAGACCAAGCACUUAAGCCAAUCGGAUGUACACAAACCCAGAUGGGAUGCAUCCGAGGGUGCUGAGGAUAUCAUUGUGAGUCUGCUGCCUAUCAACUUUGACAGGUUAUGGUGAUUGGGGAGGUCCCUGAUGGACAGAUGAAAAAGGCAAAUGUCAUGCCCAUCUUCAAGAAGGUUGAGAAAGAGGAUCCAGGGAACUACAAGCCCAGCAGUCUAACCUCAGUCUCCUGGAAGAUUUUUCCUCCUGGAAACCAUUUCUGAGCUUGUAAGUGCAAGAAGGUGGUUAGAAAUAGGCAGCAUGAGUUUACCAAGGGCAAGCUGCCUCUGAUCAACCUGAUCGGUUGAUCAUGGUAAGAUGACUGGUUCCAUGGACAAGGGAAGAGUAGUGAAUAUCGUUUACCUUGACUUUAGCAAAGCCUUUCCCAAGGUCUUUGAUAGUAUCCUGCCAGUCAAAAUAGUGGGAUAUGGUCAGGAUAAGCAGAUGAUAAGGUGGAUGGAAAACUGGCUGAGCUGCCAGGCUAAACAGGUUGUGAUUGGCAGUACAAAGUCCAUCUGACAGCUGGUUGCUAGUGGCAGUCCCCCUCAGGGACAGAUUCUGGGGCCAAUGCGGUUUGGUGUCUUCGAUGUUAAUGAUCUGGACUAUGGGAGACAGUGCACUAUCAGCAAUUUUAUGGAUGAUACCAGCCUGCAGGGGAGCAGAUGAUAUGCUGGAGGGCAGGGCUGUUAUUUGGAGGGACCAGGACAGGCUGGAGGAAUGAGUUGCCAGGAGCCUCACCAAGCUCAGCAAAGACAAGUGAGAAGUCCUGGGUUGGGCAUGGAAUAACCCCCUGCACUUGCACGUGCUGGAGGUCAACUGCCUAGAGAGCAGCUCUGCAGAAAGGGACCUGGGGUCCUGGUGGGCACAUUGAGCAUGAGUUGGCAGUUGGGGCAAACAAGGUCAACCUCAUCUUGGAUUAUAUUAGCAAGAUGUAACCAGCAGGUCCAGGGAAGUAAUUAUUCCUGUCUAUUUGGCACUUGUGAGACUGCUUCUGGAGUACUGUUUUUGGCUGCCCAGCACAAGACAUUGACAUACUGUUACGAAUGCAGUGGAGCGUCACUAAAAUCACACGGGCUGGAGUACAAGCAUAUGAGGAGAGUGCGGUGGAGCGAAGAUAAAGAAGAGAUGCAGACUCUUCUUGGAGCUGUAUGGUGGUAGGGGAAGAGCUAAUGGACCCAAGUUGCAAUACAGGGAAUCCUGCAUGUAAGGAAAAAUAUUUUCACUGUUGGGGUGGUCAAAUGCUGGAAUGGGUUUUCAAUAGAUAUUGUGGAAUCUCAGUCCUUGGAGAUAUUCAAAACCUGACCAAGCAACCUGCUUUAGUUGGAGCUGCUUUCAAUGAGGAGUUGGACUAGCUGACCAUCAGGGAUCACUUCCAACCUGUCCAUCAGAGGGGUGAGGCAGAGACCAGUGGAUGGCAAGAGUUUGCCACUGCAGAUCUGCUAGAACCCUUAUUGCCCUCAGAGAGCUCGCGUGUCAAAGGUGAGGCACCUGCACGUUUCAACGCUGAAAGCUGAGUUUUGAUUUUGAGGACUGCAACUUUCAGUGUAGAAUCCUAAAAUCUGUCUGAAUCUCUUUUUGAAUCUGGCUCUUAAUACUGAACUUUGAAAAGCAAGGAUCUAUUUUCAAAGAGUGCAUGCCUCUCUACUGAAGACAUGAAAGACCUAAGAGGAUGAUUAAUCAGGAUUGCUUUGAGGGACAUUUUCCUUCCCAUUGUCCUAAGAUGAGAUUGGGAGAUAGUAGAAAGUGGCAGAUGUUUUGGAGUGGCCCUGUUGUUUUCAGGACUGUAAAUUGUUGUUUUCCUUUGUGGGUUUCUUAUCUGCUUAAUGCAUACUUGUCUGUAGAUAGCUAGUGUACAUGACUGCAAUUGGGACCUUUUUGGAGUUAGGUCAUAGUUGUCUUCUAACUGUUGUUAAUUCCCAUUUCCAAAGAUUCUGCUGAAUUUCAUCAUUAGCAAAACUAUAUGAGAAUGUGCUGUUGCUGCACUCACAGCAGUGCACAGUUGUGCACAGUGUAUGUGGAGCUAUGCAUUACAAGAAGAAUUGUAUAAAAUGAAAAGCUGACUUACAGUAGUAUCUUUCUGUUAAAAAGUAUGCACAUUCUAAAUGUAGUGCUUGGAAAAAAAAGUCAUCUAUCUCUUUAUGACUGUGAUCAAAUUCUAUACAUUUUAUAAGACACAGUAUGGACCUACUUUAUGUCUCACUAAAAAUUUAAUAUACGUGAUACAUACUUUAAUGGAAUAUAUGACUUUUCCUUCUCCUGGUGUAAUCACUCACAGUUUUGCAAAAUUGAUAGGGAUCUCUGAUUUGACAGCAGCUUCCACAGGUAUAGGUAACAGGACAAAUACAAGGGAGUGGAUAAUUGCAACCCUUAUCUUAAAGAAAAACAUCUGGCAUUUUUUUAAGCUUUGAUAACUAGAAAGUAUUACUUGUAUUUUGUCUUAAAUCUAGCAUUUCAUCAUUAGUUUGAAAAUGCCUCUCUCUGUGUGAAAAAUAGUUAGAAUAUAAACCCCCUUCUCCUUUCCUCAGUAGUAUGUUAACAAAUCCACACACUGGCUUAUAUUUUAUUAGAAAUAUAGGGAAGGGGAAAAUGGGAUUUGCCAAAUGGGGAAAGAGAAAAAUAUUUAUCAGCUUUCAACACUUGGAUUAAAUUAUAUCAUACUCUGUAAGAAAAAUUAUGUGGCUGUUCAGUUUUGCUUUAGGAGAGGUUCUAUGAUCCAAAACCCGUAACAUAUUCAGCGCAUGUAAUAAAAGCGUCACUCACAUGCUGGUCACAAGAAUAUGCUUCUACAAAAGCAGUUGUAACUAAUGAGUCUCUUUCCCCUUAGUUAAGAAAAUAAUUUCUAUUUAAAUAGCGUUGAAAUUUCAAGAUCUGCAUUUUUUAUAAGUGAUAGUUUAAAGCCUGUGAUAUGAUCUGAAAACUAUCAAACCUAUAAUCUUCCUAAUGUGCCGGGACUUUGAUUACAUAAAAAUACUUUGUUGGUUCAUGGUGAAUAUUCAUAAAUGGUAUCUAUAUGGUAUGUAUAUGCACAGUAUAAAACAUCAUUGUCAAAAAAAUAGCUCUAUACUUACGGAAGAUUUUGAAAACCCAGAUCAUUCCUUUCUACCUCUUUUUUUUUUUUUUUUUUUUUUUUUUUUAAUUUUUAAUUAAUGCCUGUUUGGGGCAUAUUAUCUCAGUAUUAUUUCUGCUGUGGUGAUGUCUCUGUAGGAUCAUCAAUAGUUCCUCUACAAUGAGAACUGGAAGAUAGUCUAUAUUAGCUACUAGUUUACUUGAUCAUGUCCUGGAAUAUCCCUAGCCUUCAGUCAAACUCAUUGAAUUUCUCUCCUGUUUUAGAGUGGGUAGAGGCAGCUGAUAGCCCUGGAGUCAUAGUCAAUGGGGAUCUAGUCAAAACAGUCAAUAUUGUCCAGAAAGUGAGUCAACUCAUUUUAAAGCAGGCAUCUACUUUUAGUCAGAUGAAUCACUCUCUAGACUCCAUUGAUGUAGAUAUGUCAAGCUGAAUGAGAUGGAUCCCACCCUUACAUUCCCUAGAUCUUUCUGCUCACUUGUUUGAGAGCGAAUUGAAGCACUUACUUAAAAAAGAAGUUUGUAGUGCAGUUUGCAUUGCAGUUGCAAUUGUGGCAACUGCUGUCUCAGCCUCACUGAGUUAGCUUUAAGUCAGCAGCUUGGCAUUGCCAGCUACAUACAUGGACUCUACUAUACCUGAAGUCUUCACAGUCCAUACGUGAGUCGCUGGUGCAUUCAGCAUUUAAAUGCAGUAGGUUCCUUUGGUGUUCUUACUAAAAACGGACUUUAAUAAGAGCCAUAUUUAAACUUUAGAAAGCUUGCUUUUUAAGUAGCUCCAGAACUUUUAAAUUAAGUUGGCUGACAGAUUCUAAAAAACCUUCCAAGUGUUGUAAGAACUGUAGCAAAUCCGUAUCAGAUGAUACAAAUUCUGACUGAACAUCAUUAUACAAUGCAUGCUAAAUUCUGUCUGUGAAUUUGUUUACUGGCAUGCGAAUGGAGAAACAGCCUCACCUUCUCGUUCUGGACCUCCUGCCACUAUGCCCCUUCUCAGGAACAGAAACAUGGAAAGAUUGAGUCAAAGCUGCGAAUAUGCUUUAAGUAAAAGAGAGAGAGGAAAGAUAAGUUUGAUACAUCAACAUGUACAGCAAAGGGGGAAAUGACCGUGAACUUUUAAGCCCUUUGGCUUAGUCCAUGUUGUUUUCUCCAAACACUCUGCCCUUUUUUAUCCCUGUCCCCCACCUCAACUGGGUUGUUUGUCUAAUGGCCGAUUCCAUGUUUUCCCUAGCAGGUUGCUGGCGGGUAGGGGAAAACGAUGAAAAAGUGGAUGGCCCAGAGCAGUUUGUAGGUCCUUAUAGCAACCACCAGUGCCACAUUUCAUCACAGAUGGGGUAGCCCUUAAAGGCUUUACCUUGCAGAUUGGAAAUGUGCCCUGAGCAUGCAGAGGAGGUAUGAGCAGCUAUCCUCCACUGACUCUUGUUUGCUUUGCAUGAAUGAAGAACAGAGGAAGCAAUUAGCAGGGGCAUGAAAUUUAAGGAAUUGGUAUUCUGUAUUUUGUUUGUUAAUCAUCUCUGAAGUAGCAUGAUAUCUGGAUGGGAACUCCUCUUUCUUCCUGAGUUGAGUCAAGGGGCAGGUCAUGAUGGGGAUGCUUCCACCCCCGCUUACUCCAAGGCUGAAAUCCUUGAGACGGGUUAUUUGUUCCUCUGCUCUACAUCCCUCUGCGUAAUUCUGGAUGCCCUUUGCCUGGAGGAAGUCACAGCCCAGCUCAAGGUGCAGAGGCUUCCUUAGCAGUGUGGGAGGAAAAGAGGGAGUGGAUUUCACAGAAACCUCUGAUCAGGAAGCUGCCCGAGCAAGCCGGUGGGGAAUGGCUGCAUUCCAGGGGAGUUUCCUAAUUGCUGUGCCACUGGGGCGUGCUGGGGAGCAUAUCCCGGCCAGUGCCAAACACUCUUGUCUUCAGCUGCCUUUGCCCAAGCACUUGACCGAGGGGUUGUGCUUGAAGGCUGUUUCCCCGUUCGGCCCCGCGGGUGAGGGAAGGAGGGAGCUUCCCAUUGUGGGAAUCUCAUUCAGGCUUAAGGGGUGAGCUGGCAGGUCUCAAGCGCUGUCAAAAUAAUAAGACUAGGACUCCUUGCCUUAUGGCAAAAGUUUAGGUUCAUAGGGACGUAGGUAUUCCAGUACCAACAGGUGCCUCACUGGAGAUGGUGAAGCUCUGCAGUGCCUUUGAACCUUCCAAGAACCGGUGUCAAAUAACAAAAGUGUCUGAUAUCUCUGCAUUGUGCCCAAAAUAACAGGCUAAAGCAGGUUUUAUGCUUUCAGGGAUACUUUUUCAUUCUGUGAAUUCAGUAAUCUGGUUUUGCACCUGUAAGAAGUUGAUGUGCUAGUUGCCUCUUCCCUGGCCUUUAACUAAUUGCAAUUUGAAAAAUAUUGUUGUACAAUGUCCUUAACGUGGGCUUUAUAGUAAGUAAACAUUACAUCCUGUUUACAUGGCAACAUCUGGCAAAACAGAAAUAUUGAUGAUUUGUCCCACAUUUUAUUUAGUUGUAUUAUAUGCACUCAAUAUAUUUAAGGAUUAUUUCAUUAAAACAAUUUGUUACUGUGAUUUAAAAAA